rnacentral:rRNA from 1 species
UACAGAGGGUGCGAGCGUUGUUCGGAAUUACUGGGCGUAAAGCGCGCGUAGGUGGUGUGUUAAGUCUGCCGGUCAAAUGCCGAGGCUCAACCUCGUUGCACGCCGGGGAUACUGGCACGCUAGAGACAAGUAGAGGCAAGCGGAAUUCCGGGUGUAGCGGUGGAAUGCGUAGAGAUCCGGAAGAACACCAGUGGCGAAGGCGGCCCGCUGGGCAGUGGCUGACGCUGAGGCGCGACAGCGUGGGGGAGCAAACAGG